rnacentral:rRNA from 1 species
GCGUCGAGCGGCGGACGGGUGAGUAAUACUUAGGAAUCUACCUAGUAGUGGGGGAUAGCACGGGGAAACUCGUAUUAAUACCGCAUACGACCUACGGGAGAAAGGGGGCAGUUUACUGCUCUCGCUAUUAGAUGAGCCUAAGUCGGAUUAGCUAGAUGGUGGGGUAAAGGCCUACCAUGGCGACGAUCUGUAGCUGGUCUGAGAGGAUGAUCAGCCACACCGGGACUGAGACACGGCCCGGACUCCUACGGGAGGCAGCAGUGGGGAAUAUUGGACAAUGGGGGAAACCCUGAUCCAGCCAUGCCGCGUGUGUGAAGAAGGCCUUUUGGUUGUAAAGCACUUUAAGCAGUGAAGAAGACUCUUCGGUUAAUACCCGGAGACGAUGACAUUAGCUGCAGAAUAAGCACCGGCUAACUCUGUGCCAGCAGCCGCGGUAAUACAGAGGGUGCAAGCGUUAAUCGGAAUUACUGGGCGUAAAGCGAGCGUAGGUGGCUUGAUAAGUCAGAUGUGAAAUCCCCGGGCUUAACCUGGGAACUGCAUCUGAAACUGUUAGGCUAGAGUAGGUGAGAGGGAAGUAGAAUUUCAGGUGUAGCGGUGAAAUGCGUAGAGAUCUGAAGGAAUACCGAUGGCGAAGGCAGCUUCCUGGCAUCAUACUGACACUGAGGCUC